rnacentral:piRNA from 1 species
UACUAGGCCGAGGAAUUUUCUCUAAUUCU